rnacentral:rRNA from 1 species
AGUGAACGCUGGCGGUAGGCCUGACACAUGCAAGUCGAACGGCAGCACAGUAAGAGCUUGCUCUUACGGGUGGCGAGUGGCGGACGGGUGAGGAAUACAUCGGAAUCUACUUUUUCGUGGGGGAUAACGUAGGGAAACUUACGCUAAUACCGCAUACGACCUACGGGUGAAAGCAGGGGGUCUUCGGACCUUGCGCGAUUGAAUGAGCCGAUGUCGGAUUAGCUAGUUGGCGGGGUAAAGGCCCACCAAGGCGACGAUCCGUAGCUGGUCUGAGAGGAUGAUCAGCCACACUGGAACUGAGACACGGUCCAGACUCCUACGGGAGGCAGCAGUGGGGAAUAUCGGACAAUGGGCGCAAGCCUGAUCCAGCCAUACCGCGUGGGUGAAGAAGGCCUUCGGGUUGUAAAGCCCUUUUGUUGGGAAAGAAAAGCAGCAGGUUAAUACCCCGCUGUUCUGACGGUACCCAAAGAAUAAGCACCGGCUAACUUCGUG